CAAGUCGAGCGAACGGACGAGAAGCUUGCUUCUCUGAUGUUAGCGGCGGACGGGUGAGUAACACGUGGAUAACCUACCUAUAAGACUGGGAUAACUUCGGGAAACCGGAGCUAAUACCGGAUAAUAUUUUGAACCGCAUGGUUCAAAAGUGAAAGACGGUCUUGCUGUCACUUAUAGAUGGAUCCGCGCUGCAUUAGCUAGUUGGUAAGGUAACGGCUUACCAAGGCAACGAUGCAUAGCCGACCUGAGAGGGUGAUCGGCCACACUGGAACUGAGACGCGGUCCAGACUCCUACGGGAGGCAGCAGUAGGGAAUCUUCCGCAAUGGGCGCAAGCCUGACGGAGCAACGCCGCGUGAGUGACGAAGGUCUUCGGAUCGUAAAACUCUGUUAUUAGGGAAGAACAUAUGUGUAAGUAACUGUGCACAUCUUGACGGUACCUAAUCAGAAAGCCACGGCUAACUACGUGCCAGCAGCCGCGGUAAUACGUAGGUGGCAAGCGUUAUCCGGAAUUAUUGGGCGUAAAGCGCGCGUAGGCGGUUUUUUAAGUCUGAUGUGAAAGCCCACGGCUCAACCGUGGAGGGUCAUUGGAAACUGGAAUACUUGAGUGCAGAAGAGGAAAGUGGAAUUCCAUGUGUAGCGGUGAUAUGCGCAGAGAUAUGGAGGUACACCAGUGGCGAAGGCGACUUUCUGGUCUGUAAC
rnacentral:rRNA from 1 species